GUUCCUAUAGUUGAAUAACAACAGUAGUCCUUCACACUACAAGAUUGAGUUAAAACCUCAAUAGAAACC
rnacentral:tRNA from 1 species